ensembl:lncRNA
AGUGGUUUUGCCGCCUGCUGCGCAAGCACAAGGACCCGAGUUUGAUCCCCGGUACCAAAAAAAAACAAUACAGAAACAAGACAGCAAAGAAUGUGACUGUCCCCAUACAUCUCUGCAGAGCUACAUACUAUCCUGGAAACAACUCUGUGCCGAGGUUUCAGGUGGUGACCAGCAGCAGCAUAGGUGGUUUAUGUAAAGAUGAGGCCACCAAAGAGAAAUGCACAGGGACAAAGAUGUGCCUCCAGCCUUAAAUCAUUAGUGAAACUUACCUGGAGAAGGAAGAAGAAGAAGAAGAGUGUUGGGAAAGAAAACAAGGAUAAGGGCAAGGGGGACAAGGAGGAAGAACAAGAAGAGGAAGGAGGAGGCAGAGCACCACCCAAUUUUGGCUCUGGAGAUAUAUAAAGAGAUUGCCAAAAGUAUUGGAGGAAGCUUCUUCGCUAUUUUGAGAGAAUUUCUGAAAGUGACCUCUUUCCCUAGAUGUAAAUGAGGAAACCUAUUUCUAUAUGUCAAGGUUCUUACUUGUGCGUGACAGAAAUGAAUUGUGGAUAGUUUGAGCAGGGAAAAUAUUAUUAAAUGAUAUCAGAGAGUUCACAGAAUCUGAAAAAUUCAGAAACCAGGCUUCAGCCUACACACCAGAAAAUAUCCUUUUGUAGACUGCUGCCCCACUAGUAGAGGCAGCUGAACACUAAAGACUUCCACCUGAACCUCUGCAUCUGCUGCUUCUGGGAAUAGUAUUGCCAACCUUGCCAGGACUUAUACAUGGCUCUUGCAUCUUCAUGUCACUAGAUUCCACAAAGCUGCAAGGAAGGCUAGGAAGGAAUUUCUGAAUUUUACAUUGGGGAAGUAAAGACUCAUAAGAUGGAGAACUCCAUACAGGAAAAGUUUUCAAAGAUGCCUUGUGGCCAUAAAGAAUGCAUAUGGCCACUACAUCUUGGGAGUUGUUGGCAACUAUCUUGUAAUCUUGAUAGGGAAUUAGACAUGAUGAAACUGACUGCCAGAACUCAAGAGAGUUGGAAAGAAACUGAGUGAACAAUGAUAACUCAGAGAUGCUGAACUAAAGCAUACCUGAAGCCCAUCCUGUUUUGGGGAUUUAGGUCCAUGGUCAUUGUUUGAGCCUGUUUUAACUGGAUUUUUUGCUAUUUACAAAUGAAUACAUCUUAACCAAUAUAUAAACAAACAGUGGAAAAUGCUGCUAAUUUUCUAACAGUGGAAUUAUUGAAUUAUAGAAUAUGUGACUUUUGAAUUUGGAUACAUGUUACAUUAAAUCACCUUCCAAAAUGUUGUGCUAUUUUUUAUUUCCACUAACAAUUUCUAAUAGUGUCCUCAUGCCCUCACUAUUGCUGAAUUUUAUUCUACUUUUAAAUACUUACAUAUUGUGAUUGGCCG